UGAAGAGAAAACGCGUGAUAUUUGCUUAAAUGUGGGAUUCUCGGAGAUGAAACUCGUGAUAUCCGAUUAAAAGGGGGAUUUGUGAAAAGAAAACGCAUGAUUUUCACUUAAAUGGGGGAUUUCCGAAGAGAAAACGCGUGAAUUUUGCUUAAAUGGGGGAUUUCUGAUGAGAAAACGCGUGAUAUUUGCUUAAAUGGAAGGUUUCUGAAGAGGAAACACGACAUUUUCGCUACAAUGGGGGAUUUCUGAAGAGAAAACGCGUGAUAUUUGCUUAAAUGUGGGAUUCUCAGAGAUAAAACAGUUGAUAUUCGAUGAAAUGGGGGAUUUCCGAAGAGAAAACGCACGAUUUUCGCGUAAAUAUCAGAUUUCUGAAGAGAAAACGC
rnacentral:lncRNA from 1 species